UUGAUGAUUAAUGAAGAGUGCACUAUUGCUGGUACAUUGCACCAUAUGCUGUUACUACCCUCUACUAUAAAACCAGCACAAACUGCCUCCAUUUUACUGUUCAAAGAAAUAACAUUAUUAAUUAUGAGAUCAUUGAGAUGAAUACAAUAAAUUUUUAUGCAAAUGCAAGAAAAUUAACCACCUGUACUCAAUCAGGCACCCCUAAAACCCCCCAAAAUUUCCUCAAG
rnacentral:lncRNA from 1 species